UGGGGAAUAUUGGACAAUGGGCGGAAGCCUGAUCCAGCAACGCCGCGUGAGGGAUGACGGCCUUCGGGUUGUAAACCUCUUUCAGUACCGACGAAGCGAAAGUGACGGUAGGUACAGAAGAAGGACCGGCCAACUACGUGCCAGCAGCCGCGGUAAUACGUAGGGUCCGAGCGUUGUCCGGAAAUUAUUGGGCGUAAAGGGCUCGUAGGCGGUUUGUCGCGUCGGGAGUGAAAACAGCGGGCUUAACUCGUUGCUUGCUUUCGAUACGGGCAGACUAGAGGUAUGCAGGGGAGAAUGGAAUUCCUGGUGUAGCGGUGAAAUGCGCAGAUAUCAGGAGGAACACCGGUGGCGAAGGCGGUUCUCUGGGCAUUACCUGACGCUGAGGAGCGAAAGUGUGGGGAGCGAACAGGAUUAGAUACCCUGGUAGUCCACACCGUAAACGUUGGGCGNUAGGUGUGGGGUCCUUUCCACGGAUUCCGUGCCGUAGCUAACGCAUUAAGCGCCCCGCCUGGGGAGUACGGCCGCAAGGCUAAAACUUAAAUGAAUUGACGGGGUCAUAGCUGUUUCCU
rnacentral:rRNA from 1 species